GAAAUCCCAAACCGUUAGGGAGUCACAAAUAACCUAUUAUAAGAAAGUGAAAUUACUGUACCUUUUGUAUCACGGUCUGUAGAGAUUCAAACCAUAGCGGUUUUUCCCGAAAGUUUAGGAUCUACUUAAGAUGAAAUGUGGUCUGUUACAUAAUACCUUCUAAGCAUUGAAGUAGUGGCGAUAUACCAAUCGCAUUAACUGAUAGCUGGUUGUUACGAAAACAUACUUCAGUAUGGAGGGACUAGAAAGGCUAUUUCGCUGAUUAUAAAGAAAUUAGCUAAAUAGUUUUAUUCAGGUUGUAGGGGACAAGCUCUGCAACAACUAAUUAUAAAUGUGAUCAACUAAGUAGGGUUAGUAGUGCCCAUCCCUCAAGUUUUGUUCAAAAUAGUUAUCAUAACAAGAUUAAUAGUAUAAUACGUAGCUCAUACAAUUAACUUUAAUGUGUGAACUAGUAUAGAAUGAGUAGUUAAGCUGGUGAUUUUAGGUUGUUUGAUCUUAUUUACUUUUUAAUUUGGUAUGAUUACAAAAAGGUUUUUUUAAGGAACUCGGCAAAAAUUUUCUGCGCCUGUUUAACAAAAACAUCUCUUCCUGAAGUAUACUGGAAGUAGGCCCUGCCCGGUGCCCUGCGGGGUUAACGGCGGUGUUAAACCUUAAAGUAGCGUGAUAGAUUGGCCUUUAAUUGGGGUCUGGUAUGAAUGGGUUGACGUCGGAAAUGCUGUCUCAAAAAAAUAUAAUGAAAUUUACUUUUCAGUGAAAAGGCUGAAAUUUGAGUAAAAGACGAGAAGACCCUAUCGAGCUUGAGGGAUUCUAAUGUUGUAAAACCGUUAGAAGGAGUUUGGCUGGGGCAGCAACGGAGGUAACCUCCGUUUUUAAGUCGAAGAUCCAUUAGAUUGGUUAAUGAUAAGAGGAAAAAGUUACCGUAGGGAUAACAGCACCAGACCGCCUCAGAGGCCGUAUCGAAGGCGGAAGGUGUGACCUCGAUGUUGGAUCAGGGUGAACCGCAUGGUGCAGGAGCUAUGCAGGUGGGACUGUUCUUCCUUUAAUCCCCUACAUGAUCUGAGUUAAAACCGGCGUGAGCUAGGUUGGUUUCUAUCUUUAAAUUAAGCUGUCUCUCGUACGAAAGGAUCGAGAUGGCUUGCUUGUAUUAGUUUUAUUCUUAUAGCAAUCUGCACGCUAAAUUAGAAAGCAAGGACUCAUGGUAUUUGCAGUAGUUGGUUGAGUUACUUUUUUUUCUAUAUUAAUUAGA
rnacentral:rRNA from 1 species